rnacentral:rRNA from 1 species
GACGAACGCUGGCGGCGUGCUUAACACAUGCAAGUCGAACGGAGUGGCGAACGGGCGAGUAACACGUGGGUGACCUACCCUGCACUUCGGGAUAAGCAAGGGAAACUGGGUCUAAUACCGGAUAGUGUGGGAUGGGGGCGCGGCCUAUCCGCUUGUUGGGGGGGUAUUGGCCUACCAAGGCGGCGACGGGUAGCCGGCCUGAGAGGGUGGACGGCCACAGUGGGACUGGGACACCGGCCGGACGCAUACUGUAGGCAUCAGUGAGGAAUAGUGCGCGAUGGGCGGAAGGAUGAUGGAGCGACGUCGCGUGGGGGAGGUCGGUCUUUGGGUUGGAAAGGCCUUUCUCCAACGACGCGGUAGAUGGAGAGGAAGCACCGGCUAACUACGUGCCAGCAGCCGCGGUAAUAC